ACAGGGAUUGCCUUAGUAACGGCGAGUGAACUGGCAAAAGCUCAAAUUUGAAAUCUUGCAUUUUUGCAUGAGUUGUAAUUUGAAGAGGAUGUCUUUUGUCUUGCUUGGGGUUUAAGUCUCCUGGAAUGGAGCAUCAUGGAGGGUGACAAUCCCGUUUCUGGCUUCAAGUUUUAAGGCAUUAUAAGACUCCUUCAAUGAGUCGAGUUGUUUGGGAAUGCAGCUCUAAAUGGGAGGUAAAUUUCUUCUAAAGCUAAAUACAAGCUAGAGACCGAUAGCGAACAAGUAGAGUGAUCGAAAGAUGAAAAGAACUUUGGAAAGAGAGUUAAACAGUAUGUGAAAUUGUUGGAAGGGAAGCAUUUGCAAUCAGAUCUGUGUUGUUGGAAUUCACCUACACAAUUAUUGUGCUUAGAGCAUUUUCCUUCAAUACUUGUCAACAUCAAUUUGAGUAGUGAUAAAAUCUUAGUCAAAAUGUAGCUCACUGAGUGUUAUAGUUGAUUUUGCUUGUCACUAACUUAGAUUGAGGAACGCGAUAGCAUGGAUGUUGACUUAAUGGUUGUAAGUGGCCCGUCUUGAAACACGGACCAAGGAGUCUAACGUUUACGCGAGUGUUUGGGUGUAAAGCUCAAGCGCAUAAUGAAAGUAAAUGUAGGUGGGAGAUUUUUCUUUGGAAAAUUGCACCAUCGACCGAUCUUGAAGUUUUCUGAUGGAUUUGAGUAUGAGCGUAAUUGUUGGGACCCGAAAGAUGGUGAACUAUGCCUGCUUAGGCUGAAGUCAGGGGAAACCCUGAUGGAGGGUCGCAGCGGUUCUGACGUGCAAAUCGAUCGUCAAAAGUGGGUAUAGGGGCGAAAGACCAAUCGAACC
rnacentral:rRNA from 1 species